UACGGAGGGAGCUAGCGUUGUUCGGAAUUACUGGGCGUAAAGCGCACGUAGGCGGCUAUUCAAGUCGGGGGUGAAAGCCCGGGGCUCAACCCCGGAACUGCCCUCGAAACUAGAUAGCUAGAAUCUUGGAGAGGCGAGUGGAAUUCCGAGUGUAGAGGUGAAAUUCGUAGAUAUUCGGAAGAACACCAGUGGCGAAGGCGACUGACUGGACAUGUAUUGACGCUGAGGUGCGAAAGCGUGGGGAGCAAACAGG
rnacentral:rRNA from 1 species